rnacentral:misc_RNA from 1 species
GAUGAAGAACGUAGCGAAAUGCGAUACGUAAUGUGAAUUGCAGAAUUCAGUGAAUCAUCGAAUCUUUGAACGCAUAUUGCGCUCUCUGGUAUUCCGGAGAGCAUGCUUGUUUGAGUAUCAGUAAACACCUCAACUUCCAUAUCUUUUUUGAAAUGGGAGUUGGACUUGAGUGAUCCCAACGCUUUUCCUCACCGAAAAGUGGCGGGUUACUUGAAAUGCAGGUGCAGCUGGACUUUUCUCUGAGCUAUAAGCAUAUCUAUUUAGUCUGCCUAAAAAACAGAUCAUUACCUUUGCUGCAGCUAACAUAAAGGAGAUUAGUUCUUGUGCUGACUGAUGCAGGAUUCACAAAGACGGCUUCGGCCGACUUUGUAAACUCGAUCUCAAAUCAAGUAAGACUACCCGCUGAACUUAAGCAUAUCAAUAAGCGGAGGA